UUGUCUAACGGACUUCAUUGAUCGUAAAGUUCAUACGAUCGGCUACGAUCAACGAUCAAUCGUAACUUUACAUUGGUAUUGUCUAAUUUAGUUCAUUAUAUGAAGACCGGAUGGUGAACGAUGAACUGAAAUCAUUCAUGAAGAUUGCGUAUUGUUUAUGCAAAACGAUAGUGAAACUAUCGUUAAUAAUAUUAUCAAAUUUAUGUCAAACUCCAUAAUAAUGCAUAUAUUUUAACAGAGUUUUAUGUCUUUUGUUUAAAACAUUAAAGAAGCAUUAAAUUUCACGACAAAUAUCUACUAUUGAAGACAAUAGCGUGAGAAAAUGGUACAUGCAACUCAAGUAACAAAACGCAAUUAACGAAUUUAACCAAGGGCUAUUUGGACUAUUUGGUAAUCUCCCUGUUGUCUGUGUAGGCUAGUGUCAAAAUAACGGGGUAUCCUAUUAGUCUGUGGUGAAACAUAGCAUAUUAAUAACCUGUGGAUUAGAAAUUUAAAUUUUAUAAACAAAACAAAGUUUUUAUUUUUCAGGUUUUAAAGAGAAUUUAGAAAUUGAGCAAAGUUUUACUAAAUUAUAGUGAUCUUAGGAGCAAAGUUUACUUCGUUUGUGUUAUUGUGAAUCAAUAAUAUAAAAGUAAACAAAAAAGAAAAACUACCUCUAUCUAAUUUUGUCGAUGUCCAUUUCUUAAGAAGUUUCUCAUUAAAACAACCCUUAACUCAGACUAUAAAUUGAUUAUUAUGAACAGACCAUUAUGAUGAACCACUGAUAUUGACUCAAGAGACAUGAAGAUGAGUGCUUUGACAACAAGACUGACUAGCUGAGCCAGCUUAAGAAUUAUGUGGUGUGUGUGUGUGUCUAAUUCCAGGAGCUCUCUAUGUCAGCCAUCCAUCUAUAUUCUUACUCAUUUUUGUUAAUUAUAAAAUAAAUUUGAUUAUUUA